CACGGGGGGAGCAAGCGUUGUUCGGAUUCAUUGGGCGUAAAGGGCUCGUAGGCCGCUCUGUAAGUCGGAAGUGAAAGACCACGGCUCAACCGUGGAACCGCUUUCGAAACUGUGGAGCUUGAGGCCGGGAGAGGAGAUUGGAAUUCCUGGUGUAGCGGUGAAAUGCGUAGAUAUCAGGAGGAACACCCGUGGCGAAGGCGAAUCUCUGGACCGGUUCUGACGCUGAUGAGCGAAAGCUAGGGGAGCAAACAGG
rnacentral:rRNA from 1 species